GAUGAACGCUAGCUACAGGCUUAACACAUGCAAGUCGAGGGGAAACGAUAUUGGAAGCUUGCUUCCGAUAGGCGUCGACCGGCGCACGGGUGGGUAACGCGUAUCCAACCUGCCCAUCACUUGGGGAUAACCUUGCGAAAGUAAGACUAAUACCCAAUGAUAUCCGUCGAAGACAUCUGAAGUGGAGUAAAGAUUCAUCGGUGAUGGAUGGGGAUGCGGCUGAUUAGCUUGUUGGCGGGGUAACGGCCCACCAAGGCGACGAUCAGUAGGGGUUCUGAGAGGAAGGUCCCCCACAUUGGAACUGAGACACGGUCCAAACUCCUACGGGAGGCAGCAGUGAGGAAUAUUGGUCAAUGGACGAGAGUCUGAGCCAGCCAAGUAGCGUGCAGGAUGACGGCCCUAUGGGUUGUAAACUGCUUUUAUAAGGGAAUAAAGUGAGUCUCGUGAGACUUUUUGCAUGUACCCUAUGAAUAAGGACCGGCUAAUUCCGUGCCAGCCGCCGCAGUAA
rnacentral:rRNA from 1 species